AGCACUGUAUGGUAUCUGCAGUCAGCUCUCACCACAGGCUGCUCUGUUCAUUAAACGGUGCAAUAGUAACUCUGUAUCUGGCAUCGUUGGGAUCUGUGCCAUCUUGUGGCUGGAUCCCUGGUAUUUGUGCAGAGACAUGC